rnacentral:rRNA from 1 species
GGCCCNUNNNAAGCGUUACUCGGAAUUAUUGGGCGUAAAGGGCGCGUAUGCGACUCAAUAAGUCUUGUGUGAAAGCCCAUGGCUUAACCAUGGAAGUGCACAAGAUACUGCUGAGUUUGAGUUCAGGAGAGGAAAGCAGAAUUCCCGGUGUAGCGGUGAAAUGCGUAGAUAUCGGGAGGAAUACCAGUGGCGAAGGCGGCUUUCUGGACUGACACUGACGCUGAGGCGCGAAAGCUAGGGGAGCAAACGGGAUUAGAUACCCCGGUAGUCCUAGCCGUAAACGAUGUACACUUGGUGUGAGCCGGUUUUCGGUUCGUGCCGAAGUUAACGCGAUAAGUGUACCGCCUGGGGAGUACGGUCGCAAGGCUG